rnacentral:lncRNA from 1 species
AUGCUGCACUUUGCUCUUUUACAAGAGUUGCUGCUUUCCCAACACCCCCACCUGCCAGGAGGAGAGGAAGCCAGAGGGAGAAGUCUGGCCUCUUCCAGUCCAUUCCCAGACCUGCCUCAUCUUCUACCCUAGAAUGAUUGACAAUAGAAACAUCCAAUUCCUUCAACCUCAUCCACCAGGUACUCUUUAGCCUUAGGCAAGGUGAUAGUAACAAUUUAAAUGGCAUACCUCAAAGUCUGGGUUAUUCAAUUUAAAAAACCCAUGGGUGGGUUGCCAACAGUUAAGGCAAGGUACAGCUGUUCCAAGGCUGUUCUAGGUCUUCACUGAAGCAUGAUGUUAAGAGAAGGUAAGACCUGGCUCCUGAUAUAGACUAUUCUAAACCAAUCUGUGAGCAAAUCCUUGUAUAAAAGACAUUCAUAUAUCCCAAGGGAAGGAGGCAAUUUUCAGGUACAAGGCUAAAUCCAUAUUUAGGAAAAAAAAUAUUAUCUGCCUCUGUCUCUGCAAAGGUGUAUUUAUGCUAAACAAAGCAAAAUGUACCUUGACCAAUGGCACAUUUAACAUGUUUAUCUGAAGUAUUAGCUUUCAGAUUAAUGGGGACUUAACAUUUUUGUCUAAGAACAAUAGGUGGUUAUUAUGUUUAUAAAAGUAUUCUGGUGUUUUUCCUAAAGUAAAAGAAUCUGCUCCAAAGGUGAAUUAAUGUUUCCAUUAAUACAUUUGAGAUGAUGUUUUUCAGUUAAUUAAAAAAAAAAAAACUUGAUUUCAUUUAAUAGAGAUGAGGAAGGCCCCUAUCCAGACUAGGGGCAGGAGGGAGUGAGGAUGGAGAAGCUGUGCAGGAUAGGGAAUGACUGCAGAGAGUGCUGAAGGUUGGGUUAGGAGCCAAGUGAGCUGGAGCAGAGAGGUCAGGAGAGAGUGAUCCAGACAUGAGACAGCUUUUGUGAAAUCUUAGAGACCAGAGAGAAGGAUGGUGCCUUCAAGAGGAGAUGAUAUGUUGGUUGCAAGAUCAUGGAGGGGGUGACAUUUUGGUUGAACAAUAGUGACAUUCACACUUAUUUAUGACUCCAAAAAAACUUCAAACCAUUAAACUUUGAUUAUGAAAAUCACUAGGCAAUUUGUAAAACAGACCCUCUCACCU